UGAAAGAAAUCUAGUUCAGUACCUCUAUUUGAAUUGACCCUUCAAACUGGACAUCAGGAAUGUACAAAGAAAAAUCGCAUCAUUAUGAUUUGGAAUUGACAGCCAAUGGACCAUUUUGUCAAGUGUGUUUUGUCUCUGAUGCAAAGGUGGUAAUAGAACAUUAUAAGUUACAGCCAGUUGUUGUGUGAGUCACUUCCACAUUUGACAUUUGAUUUAUUAAGAAGAAAUAUAUUAACAUAGUAAAUACCUGAACGACUACAUAAAUGAAUGGUAUAAUCUAUGAAUCAAUGGAUAAACAUCUUGAUUUUUUGUCAUCUGCUCUGCUCUUUGCUCUCAGAAUGGACACACUUGAGCUGAUUUAAGGAUUAACCCACAGUCAUCAUGUUUAUGUUGGCAUCUCCCUGUUAGGAGCAUGGAGAUCAAUGUGAAUCAUAGUCAAAAUUCUUCUCUUGGUUUAAGCAGUACAGAGAAGGCCAACCAUGCCAAUGUGCAGUAUUGGAUUGAUAUGAAACAUUAAAAUGGUUAAUCCCUAAAGAAACAAACACUAAGUUCAGUUAAUCAAAAGGAUUUAGUCUAUUUAUAUAUGAUAUUAUUGAGAAAUGUUAGGGAUAUUGAAGGAGCUUCUUUUUUGGUGUGAUUUAUGCAUAUUUCUUUAUUAAUGAAUUAGUCAGUAAAGAAGCGCAGAUGAGAGUGGACAGAAAGACAGCCAAUCAUGGACCAGUGAUGAUGACUGCUGGUGUCUGACUCAUGGAAGAUGAAUAAUGAGUGCGGAACACUGAGGGCCAACCCAAAAGGAACCUAGUCUAUUCCCCGUAUUUCCAGUCAUACUAUAGGCAGAGGUCUAGAGGCAGGACUAUAAUCUUUUUCUUGGUCUUUGUGUUCAUGAAUUAUAAAACUAUAACUACGAAAGAAUCAAUGGCAGAAUAAAUUAGCAAAUGUAUAAAUGAAUAAAGGUGAAGAGGAUGAAGCAUUGUUCUUUACUAAAAUAUAUAGUCAGGGAAAUGAAUAUUAAUAUUCACUGGAAUGGAUAAUAAAUGGGCCAAGUGUAUUACAUAUUUGAGUACUUGUGACAUGGAUGGUGAUAGGUAGUAGGGUAUCACCCCGAGUCAGUUGUGAGUUUGAGAUUUGUUGUAUUGAGAGGAAAAAAAUAUUACCACAAAUUAAUAAAUGCUUAAAUGACUAAGGACAUGAAAGAUGAAAAUUGUGGGUCAGUGGGGACAGUGUCUCAUUUUGUAAAAAUCAUUGUGUCUUCUUGGUACUCUUCAGAAUGGACGCACUGAUCUGAUUUUAGCUUCUGCUGUGCUUAAAAUUGUGUUGUCUCUGUCAGGAGAGAGAACAAAGUGAGUAACAGUCAAAGAUCUUAGCUUGGUUUUAAUCAUUUGUUUAAGAGUGUUUCCGGCAUUGUUAAAAAGCAUUAAACAUCAUAAAAAAGUUAUCCAAGGCACAAUAAUAGAUUUAAUAGGAAACAUUCUUACUGUUGAUUAAUCAAAGAAAUGGAAAAAAUAUGGUGUAUAUGGGAAAGGAUUCUAUAGAACAGCGUUAAGGAUAUUCAAGGAUCUCGUGCUCAUGUUUUCUUGAAUAAUGUCUCUGAAUUAAUGAUUUAAUUGAGGACAAAUGUAAAACAAAUGAAGAGAGUGAGGAUCUAGAAUGGACCAGUAAUGAUGACUGGUGGUGUACCUCGUCUGUUUCCUGUUUGAAAUGAUCCAUUGGACAGAUGUCAAGAAUAUACAGAUACCAGGUUCUUAUUUUAGAUUCACAAAUUUCGAUUUACUAUUACUAAUGAAUCAAUGGUAGAACCAUUAAACAAAUAUAAAUAUAUAAGUAAAGAAGAGGAUGAAGUGAUUUUCAAUUAUAAACAUAUGUAAUGAGGCAAAAAAUAUUAUUAAUAAAAAUUGAAAACACUGAUGUUCAUAAAGAAAUAGAUGGAUUAAGAACGUUGUUUCUCAUUUAAGAUCAUGUUGGGGCGCCUGGGUGGCUCAGUCGGUUGAGCAACCGACUUCGGCUCAGGUCAUGAUCUCACGGUUUGUGAGUUCGAGCCCCGCGUCGGGCCCUGUGCUGAAAGCUCAGAGCCUGGAGCCUGCUUCCGAUUCUGUAUCCCCCUCUCUCUCUGCCCCUCCCGCACUCAUGCUCUGUCUCUCUCUGUCUCGGAGAUAAAUAAACAUAAAAAAUAAUUUAAAAAAAAAGAUCAUGUAGACACUGUUUAGUAGGAGUCAAUUUUCUUGUUCUCAAUCAUAUCCAAGGUUGAGAUGAUUCCUCUUGUUAAGAGAAAAAACAUAUUUAUGAAAAAUUAAUAAAUGUACCAAUGAGUAACUGAAAUGCAGAACUCAAGGGUCAGUAGAGAUAAGAUCUGUUUUGGUUUUUGUUCUUUUGUUGUUAACUAAUCACCUGUUCUGCUCUGUACUCCUCAGAAUGGACACACCUGAGCCGAUUUAACAUCUUUCAUAGUCCCGAGCUCUAUGGUUGCAUAUGUGUGUUAGGAGCAUGGAGACCAGUGUGAGUAAUAGUCAAAGUUUCUUGGUUUGGGUGGUUUGUUUAAGAGUAGUCACCAUAUUAUUAAGAAAACCGUAUAGUAGACUGUAGAGUAGUUGUAAGUGUGAUAUUGAGGUGGUGCCUUAUAUUGAUUGUUGCACGUACAUAAAACUGAGGUUAAUUACUGAAAGAGAUUGAUGUAAGAAUGAUUUUCUAUACAGCGUUGGGACAUAAAAACCCUUCUUGGGUUUGUGUGAAUCGUAAUGAUUAGAAACUAUUAUUAGUGAAGUAAUGCCUAGUGAAUAAAUAGAAAUAAAUGAAGAAAAAGAGGGGCAAUAACGGAUCGAUGAUGACCACUGGUGGCGUAUGAGUCAUAUGUGAUGAAUACAUGUCUGGAACUCUGAGGUCCAAUAGAAGAGACAUCUAGUCCGUUCCCUUUGUUGAAAAGGAUUCUACACGCAGAUGUCAGGAAUACACAAAGAUUUUUUUUUUUUUUUGGUGGGGGGGGGGUCUCUGCUCAUGGUUUUUCAUUCCAUUAUUUUAACUGGAUAAGUGAGUUGAAAAAAAAAAGAGAGAAAGAAAGAAGUAAAGAAAGAUAAAUGAAGUGAAGCAGUGUCUAAUUAUAAAACUACGUGAUCAAACAAGAAAUGCUUAUUAAUAUAUCUUGAAAACCCUGAAGUCCAAUGAGAAAUGAGGUGCCUAUGACUGUUACCUCUUGGGUAGGGAUAAUAUAGACAGUACAGAUUAUAGACAAUGUUUAUGUUCUGGGUCUGUGGCGAGCUCAAAAGUGGUUUCUUAAGAGAAAAUGAAAGAAAUAUACUUUGAAUUAAUGAUCGCAUAAAUGACCGUCUGAACUAAAGAUGAAAAGCAAACAUUAAUGGAGAGAAGGUAUAAUUUUUGUAUCACCUGUUCUGAUCUGUACUCCUCAGAAUGGACUCGCUUGAACUGGUGGAAGCAUCUUCCAUGGUCCUGAGCUCCUGGUUGCAUCUAUUUAUUAGGAGCAUAGAGACCAGUAAUGAAUACCCUCAAGCUGAUGUAAGCAUCUUCCACGGCCAUGAACUCCAUAGUUACAUCUCUGCAUUACGAGCAUGGAGAUCAAUAAUGGGCACGGCCAUGCCAAUUUUGGCAUUCUGUCAUGGCCCCGAACUCGGUGGUGUCUUUGGAGAACGGAGACCCUUGUGUGUGAGUAACAGUCGAACUUUUUGUCUUGGUUUGGGCAAUUUUUAAGAGUGGUCAAUGCAUUUUUAAGAAGUAGGAGAUAGAAUCAAAGGCCAAACAUGACCCAGUAAUAAACAUGGGACUGGUACAAAACAUUAUGUUGAGAUGUCCACAUGUGAAACACAGAGACCGAUUUCAGAAACAGAUCUAACGUCUGUGGGAAAUGAUUUCAUAGAUAGCUAUUAGGGAUAUCAAGGCUCUUAUUCUGGGUUUUUUGGAUUCAUGUAUAUUUCUUCAUGAGUAAGUAGUGAAUUGAUGAAUAAGGCAAUAGACAAAAUAUAAAGGAAAAGAAUUCACAAGCUUGGGCCAUUGAUGGUUCCUGGUGGCGUAAGAGUCAAGGAUGACGAAUGGUACAUGUCUGGACCCCUGUAUGGAAGGUGUUGAAUCAAUACAUUGUACACCUGAAACUAAUAUUACACUAUAUGUUAAUUAAUCGGAAUUGAGAUAAAAACUUAAAAAAUAAAAUAGUUCAUAUUCAUUUCCCCCUUUUUUUCCAUCUACUUUCUACUUUACGGAAUGGAUACACUCAAGCCGAUAAUCAUUCUGUAAUGAUCAGGACCUUGAUGGUUCAAUGUGAGUAAUACUCCAAAUUCAAUGGGGGUUGUCUGUAUAGGGUAUUCAGAGUUGUCUGCGUGAUUGAAAAGUAUGGAAUAUAACUUGUGGGGAUGAGCCCUGGGUGUUAUAUGUAGGGGAAGAUCGCUGGAAUUUACUCCUGAAAUCAUUAUUGCCCUAUACGCUAACUAACAUGGAUGUAAAUAAAUAAAUAAAUAAAUAAAUAGUAUGGAAUAUAAUCAAAGAAAGCCACAUGAGGACCAGCGAUGAGAUUGUGUCACAAACCAAGGUUCAUGAUAUAUCUGAUUUAGCACAACACAUCCUUUUAAAAAAGGAGUUCUAAUCUUUUAGUUCUGAAGGUAUGGGACCCAGAGUAAACUGCCUGCCACUCCUAGUUGUUUUUCUUUUUUUAGUUUACUUAUUUAUUUUGAGAGAGAGAGAGAGAGAGUCAGAGAGACAGAAUCCCAAACAGGCUCUGCACUGACAGGACAUGGGGUUUGAACUCACAAACCGUGAGAUCAUGACCUGAGCAGAAUAUCAAGAGUCGGACGCUUAACCAACUGAGCCACCCAGGCGGCCCAAAAUAAAUGUAAAUAACUUCUAGAAAGUCGUGCGUAGGCCAGUAAUGUGAAUAUGUUAUGAACCACAGUUUGGAUAAUUAAUCCAAAUUAGCGCAAAUGAAGGACAAGUAAAAAACUUUGCUUUUUUCAUUCAUUUCAAAACUCAAAGUCUCAUUUUAUGUUUGUUCCACUGAUUUUUUUUAUUUAUUUAGUCCCACUGAUGAUUUAAACAUUUCCCUCUUGAUAAAGAUCUAGGCUGAUACUCAUUUUGAGAGUCAAUAUUCUAGUUGUUGAGCAGGAUGUUGGGUUCAUGGUUGGCCUCUGUAAUGCCUAACAAUGGUUCCGUGUAAUCUCUAAAAGUUAAAUGCUGAAGGAUUGCACCUGCACCAAGGAUGUGAAUGGAAUGCAUCUGAAUAAAAAUUAUGAUCAAUCAUUUUUUGAACCACUGAGGUCCACUCACAAAGCGAACUCGUGUAGGACUUUUGGGGAGUGGUCUCAGGAAAGGUCAAGAAUCUAGUUGAGAAAGGUUCAUGGAUUUGACUUUAUAUUGUUAGUGAAUAAAUGAAUGUAUCAAUAAGCAAAUAUACUCAAAGGUAAAGAAAAUUAGGUCAAAACAUGGACCAAUUUAGAGGAUAUGUUAUAAAACGGGAAAUAUUCUGUAUUCAGUUCUGAAACACUUUGGUCAAGUAAGAAAAAAAAACAACAUAGAUUAAGGUUGUUACCACUUUGUGUAAGAAGCCGCUAGGUAGAGGGAGUUUAUGAGUCGAGGUUCUGCUGUCUAUUUGCAGUGGGUUUCUAUGUGUUUGUUUCGUGAAGGAAAAAAAAGUUGAAAUUAAAGAAAUGGCUAACUGAAUGAGUGAGUGCCAAGAAUGAACCAAUGAUGACUAUAUUUUAUUCUUUAUUACAUCUGCUUUGUGCCGAGAAUGGCCACACAUUGGCUGCUUUUGUCAUUACACUUAAUGGUGAGGAUCCUGACUGUUACUGAUGUGGCCAAAGAAAGCGUAGAUUAGGGUAAGUAGCAAAUUAAGUUUUUAUUCUUGGCUUGGUCUUUUUGUUCAUGGAUGAUGACAUUAUUUUCAAAAAGAAUAAAUGGCUUCAUGCAACCAUAACAUGAAAUCAAAGAAGACCUUGUAUGGACUGAUGAUAAGAAUUUGUCCUGACAAGGUCGUGCUUUAUUCAUUUUGCAAAAAUCAAAAAACAAAAACAAAAACAGAUUUCCAUUCAAAAAAUAGAUUGCUCCCUCUCAGCUUAAGAAGAUUAUAGACACCUUCUAGUCAUAGUCAAAGGUCUUGUCCUUGGAUUGGUUGUGUUUUCCUUGUUUAUUUUAUUU